rnacentral:rRNA from 1 species
GACGAACGCUGGCGGCGUGCUUAACACAUGCAAGUCGAACGGAAAGGCCCCCUUUUGGGGUGCUCGAGUGGCGAACGGGUGAGUAACACGUGAGUAACCUACCCUUGACUUUGGGAUAACUUCAGGAAACUGGGGCUAAUACCGGAUAGGAGCUCCUGCUGCAUGGUGGGGGUUGGAGAGUUUCGGCGGUUGGGGAUGGACUCGCGGCUUAUCAGCUUGUUGGUGGGGUAGUGGCUCACCAAGGCUUUGACGGGUAGCCGGCCUGAGAGGGUGACCGGCCACAUUGGGACUGAGAUACGGCCCAGACUCCUACGGGAGGCAGCAGUGGGGAAUAUUGCACAAUGGGCGGAAGCCUGAUGCAGCAACGCCGCGUGCGGGAUGACGGCCUUCGGGUUGUAAACCGCUUUCGCCUGUGACGAAGCGUGAGUGACGGUAAUGGGUAAAGAAGCACCGGCUAACUACGUG